AAAAGAGGAAUUGCAGUGUAAGGGUUAAGUAAAUUAAUCACCUGUCUCGAAAAAAACCAAUGUCCAAAAUAGUGUUGAAACUCUGCCGAAAUUUUGAGGAAAAUGAAAUGAAAAGAAAAGAAGUCAUAUUUUUAGAAAAUAGUUUGUUUUAUUUGCUCGAACUAUGCAAACCUAAUUCUCGUCUCUCAGGGCUUGAUACGUAGGCAACUCACAUAGGGUCCGAUCUUCCUAGUAAAUCUUAGGUUCUUGACUUUGUAGGGUCUUAGCCAAAUUUUGCACUCCUAGCCACUUUUUGACCAAAUAAGUCAUUUUGCAAAAAUAGCCUCGAUCAUGUCUUGCAUGGGUUUGGUAGGGAAUAUUAUUUUCUCACAUAGUGUUGUUUUAAGCCUUUUCAUACAUGUGUGGAUCUACUUACCGGAGUUUGAGCAUGACAGAUACCCCAGGGCCACUCAUUCAGAAGUUGCUUAAGGAGAUUUUUUAUGUCAUCUUCUACUUUCUAGUUUUUUAU
rnacentral:lncRNA from 1 species